CCUACGGGAGGCAGCAGUGAGGAAUAUUGGUCAAUGGCCGGAAGGCUGAACCAGCCAUGCCGCGUGAAGGUCAGUGCCCUAUGGGCGUUAAACUUCUUUUGUGCGGGAGCAAUAAUGGUCACGUGUGGCCAGACGAGAGUACCGUACGAAUAAGCAUCGGCUAACUCCGUGCCAGCAGCCGCGGUAAUACGGGGGAUGCAAGCGUUAUCCGGAUUUUUUGGGUUUAAAGGGUGCGUAGGCUGGGAGGUAAGUCAGCGGUGGAAUGCCGCCGCUCAACGGGGUGAAGUGCCAUUGAUACUGGCUUGCUUGAAUGCGGAUGCCGUGGGAGGAAUGUGUGGUGUAGCGGUGAAAUGCAUAGAUAUCACACAGAACACCGAUUGCGAAGGCAUCUCACGAAUCCGCGAUUGACGCUGAUGCACGAAAGCGUGGGUAUCAAACAGGAUUAGAUACCCCGGUAGUC
rnacentral:rRNA from 1 species